rnacentral:rRNA from 1 species
GAUGAACGCUAGCUACAGGCUUAACACAUGCAAGUCGAGGGGCAGCAUGGUCUUAGCUUGCUAAGACUGAUGGCGACCGGCGCACGGGUGAGUAACACGUAUCCAACCUGCCGUCUACUCUUGGACAGCCUUCUGAAAGGAAGAUUAAUACAAGAUGGCAUCAUGAGUCCGCAUGUUCACAUGAUUAAAGGUAUUCCGGUAGACGAUGGGGAUGCGUUCCAUUAGAUAGUAGGCGGGGUAACGGCCCACCUAGUCUUCGAUGGAUAGGGGUUCUGAGAGGAAGGUCCCCCACAUUGGAACUGAGACACGGUCCAAACUCCUACGGGAGGCAGCAGUGAGGAAUAUUGGUCAAUGGGCGAGAGCCUGAACCGGCCAAGUAGCGUGAAGGAUGACUGCCCUAUGGGUUGUAAACUUCUUUUAUAAAGGAAUAAAGUCGGGUAUGGAUACCCGUUUGCAUGUACUUUAUGAAUAAGGAUCGGCUAACUCCGUGCCAGCAGCCGCGGUAAUACGGAGGAUCCGAGCGUUAUCCGGAUUUAUUGGGUUUAAAGGGAGCGUAGAUGGAUGUUUAAGUCAGUUGUGAAAGUUUGCGGCUCAACCGUAAAAUUGCAGUUGAUACUGGAUAUCUUGAGUGCAGUUGAGGCAGGCGGAAUUCGUGGUGUAGCGGUGAAAUGCUUAGAUAUCACGAAGAACUCCGAUUGCGAAGGCAGCCUGCUAAGCUGCAACUGACAUUGAGGCUCGAAAGUGUGGGUAUCAAACAGGAUUAGAUACCCUGGUAGUCCACACGGUAAACGAUGAAUACUCGCUGUUUGCGAUAUACAGCAAGCGGCCAAGCGAAAGCGUUAAGUAUUCCACCUGGGGAGUACGCCGGCAACGGUGAAACUCAAAGGAAUUGACGGGGGCCCGCACAAGCGGAGGAACAUGUGGUUUAAUUCGAUGAUACGCGAGGAACCUUACCCGGGCUUAAAUUGCAGAUGAAUUACGGUGAAAGCCGUAAGCCGCAAGGCAUCUGUGAAGGUGCUGCAUGGUUGUCGUCAGCUCGUGCCGUGAGGUGUCGGCUUAAGUGCCAUAACGAGCGCAACCCUUGUUGUCAGUUACUAACAGGUUCCGCUGAGGACUCUGACAAGACUGCCAUCGUAAGAUGUGAGGAAGGUGGGGAUGACGUCAAAUCAGCACGGCCCUUACGUCCGGGGCUACACACGUGUUACAAUGGGGGGUACAGAGGGCCGCUACCACGCGAGUGGAUGCCAAUCCCAAAAACCUCUCUCAGUUCGGACUGGAGUCUGCAACCCGACUCCACGAAGCUGGAUUCGCUAGUAAUCGCGCAUCAGCCACGGCGCGGUGAAUACGUUCCCGGGCCU